UGUACGGCUCCAACGACAAGGUGUUCUCCCCGCUCUGGCCCAUCUUUCCUCCCUUGGCCGCGCACGCUCCCCCGACUCCCCAACUAAUCUACCCACACCAAGUCGUUGUAGCUCAUGCUGUCAGGGCUCAAGAUGAUGUGUGCGGAGUCGGAUGGAGUGGCUUCGCAUGCUGGACGUUGGCGGCGUUGUGCUUGAAGUUGAAGACGUUGUGGUCAACCACGUCGUCGCUUCCAGACCGAAUCUGGUUUUGGGCACGCAGGCAAGCAAUAUGUCUUCAGUUGUUUGCAGACCUAAUCUGAAUCCCUCAUCGUACUUCCUCCUCACGACAUAACAAGAUUCAUCAUUUAGCUGCACAUGUAAUGGAAUAGAUUUAUCCAUUUCCUAAGUGAGAUUUAACCAUUUCUCAAGUGUUCCUAGCUAUUGUUCAGAUUAUGUCUAUUCUGUACAUGUGCGAUGAGGGAUUCAGUAAAGUGUUCCUAGCCAUUUUUGAGGAUGAAUUUAGUGGUCAACACUGAUAUGUCAGUUACUUUCAUUAAUGUAUGCAAUAUAAAUUUUGGUUAUUGUUUUAUGUGAUGGUAAACCUUAUCUUUUGUGCAGAAUGACUUCAUACAAUUUGUCUUAUCAACCAUGUUAUGUAUGAACUAUAGGCACUGAUGGUUCUGACUUCAAUAUGUGCAUACAUGAUGGUUGAAAGGGAAUUAGGCUUACACCUUUUUCCUAAUUGAUUUUGGUGGUUGAAUUGUCCAACACAAAUAAUUGGACUAACUAGUUUGCUCUAGUCUAUAAGUUUUACAGAUGCCAAAGGUUCACAACAAGCCAAUAAAAAGACCAAAGAUGGGUUCAAAUAAAGAGAGCUAAAGACAUCCCAAAGACACCCUGGUCUGGCGCACCGGACUGUCCGGUGCACCAGGGCACUCGACGCUGAACUUGCUACCUUCGGGAAAAUGGGAGGUCGCUCCGCUAUAAUUCACCGGACUGUCCGGUGAAGCACCGGACAGUGUCCGGUGUGCCAGCGGAGCAACAACUACUUCGUACGCAACGGUCGACUGCAACGCAUUUAAUGCGCGCCUGCGCGCGCAGAGGACAGAGCACGCACAGAAGGCGCACCAGACAGUCUACAGGACCUGUCCGGUGCACCACCGGACAGCCCAGAGGCCCCACCAGUCAGAGCUCCAACGGUCAGAACCCAACGGCCGGCUGACGUGGCUGGCGCACCGGACAGUGUCCGGUGGCGCACCGAACUGUCCGGUGCGCCAUGCGACAACAACCUUCUAACGACCACUUUUGGUGGUUGGGGCUAUAAAUACCCCAACCACCCCACAUUCAAUGGCAUCCAAGUUUUCCACCUUCAACACAUUACAAGAGCUAUAGCAUUCAAUUCUAGACACAACAAAGGAGAUCAAAUCCUCUCCCAAGUCCGGAAUCACUCCAAAUCAAAUAGUGACUCGAGAGAGUGACAUUUGUGUUCAUUUGAGCUCUUGCGC
rnacentral:lncRNA from 1 species